GCGGAAGUUUUCGGAUGGAAGCAAUAAACCUUAGCGGCGGACGGGUGAGUAACGCGUGGGUAACCUGCCUCAUACAGGGGGAUAACAGUUAGAAAUGACUGCUAAAACCGCAUAAGCGCACAUUGUCGAGUGACAGAGUGUGAAAAACUCCGGUGGUAUGAGAUGGACCCGCGUCUGAUUAGCUAGUUGGUGAGGUAACGGCCCACCAAGGCGACGAUCAGUAGCCGGCCUGAGAGGGCGACCGGCCACAUUGGGACUGAGACACGGCCCAAACUCCUACGGGAGGCAGCAGUGGGGAAUAUUGCACAAUGGGGGAAACCCUGAUGCAGCGACGCCGCGUGAGUGAAGAAGUAUUUCGGUAUGUAAAGCUCUAUCAGCAGGGAAGAAGAAAGACGGUACCUGACUAAGAAGCCCCGGCUAACUACGUGCCAGCAGCCGCGGUAAUACGUAGGGGGCAAGCGUUAUCCGGAUUUACUGGGUGUAAAGGGAGCGUAGACGGCUGUGCAAGUCUGAAGUGAAAGCCCAGGGCUCAACCCUGGGACUGCUUUGGAAACUGUGGAGCUAGAGUGCUGGAGAGGUAAGUGGAAUUCCUAGUGUAGCGGUGAAAUGCGUAGAUAUUAGGAGGAACACCAGUGGCGAAGGCGGCUUACUGGACAGUAACUGACGUUGAGGCUCGAAAGCGUGGGGAGCAAACAGGAUUAGAUACCCUGGUAGUCCACGCGGUAAACGAUGAAUACUAGGUGUUGGAGAGCAAAGCUUUUCGGUGCCGUCGCAAACGCAAUAAGUAUUCCACCUGGGGAGUACGUUCGCAAGAAUGAAACUCAAAGGAAUUGACGGGGACCCGCACAAGCGGUGGAGCAUGUGGUUUAAU
rnacentral:rRNA from 1 species